rnacentral:lncRNA from 1 species
AUGUUUCUUAAAAAAAAAAGUUGAGUUGAAAGUUACUUAAUGAAUAAAAAAUCAGGACAUUUUUAACCUAUUAAAGAUUAGGAUGGAAAAAUAGGUUUGGCUCAACGGACCAACCCUGAAGAAAAAGAUGGGUUGGGUCAGAAUUUUAACCCAUUAGUCCAUAUUAAUUUGAUUCGUUUGGUUUGUUAAAUCAAUGGAUCGGUGAGUUGCUCCCUCCAUCAUCUCAAGUGCUACCUAACACUUCUCCAAUUUUUCUUUUAUUCUAAAAUUACUUUUUCUUACAUUUACUAUUUACCUUUUUAACUUUUAAUGUUAAAAUCCUAAUCCUUCCCUCACUCCUUAUUUUCACUUUCACUCUCGAAUAGUAAUACUCUCACUUUCUUUCUUUUUUUCUUUGCAACCUCACCCCUCAUUUUCCCUUUCUUUCUCUUUUUCUCUAGAACCCUCCCCCCUUCCUUUACUUUGUUUCUCUCACUUUCUCUCUUUCUCUGCAACCCCCCCCCCCAUCCACUUUCCCUUUCUUUCUUUCUCUUCCUUUUGUUAUUUCUCUGUAGGCCCACCCUUCACUCUCCACUUCUCUCAUUCUUGUUUGGUCUCUAAGAGGCUAGUGUUUCUUUGCUCUUCUGUUGUAAUUGAUUGUAUGAUAUGUGUUGUUUGUGUUUUGCAUUGUAUGAUAUGUGCUCUCUGAUCGCUUCAACGGAUAUGGGGGAUCUGUUGGCC